AGGAGCUGAAGACACAGUUCUGCUCGACCCAAACCGCCACUCGAUCUCAUCAUGGCUCUGAAUCUCAGUCAGACCGAUGCGGAGAGUGAAGGAAUCUCCCGCCAUCACUGGCACUUCUGUCUCAUCUGUCUCUGAGUUGAGGUUCACCUUUGAUCACUUCGAAAUAAUAAUACGUGACACACCCGUUUUCUCAAGAAAUCACGUGACGUGAUUUGUUCGAUACAAGCCCAUCAUCAUCAUCAUCAUCAGUAUCAUUGCUGCAGUAGAUGCGACCAGAAGCAACACCAAUAUGAGGAACAAUACUUUGCUUUUUUGGGUUCUAUUACUCGUGGACGGUGUGUUUGGUUCUGAUAAAGUGAUAUCAGUGUCAGUGAUGGAGGGAGAUUCUGUCACUCUACGCAUCGAUCUCGCUGAAAUAAAGGGAGUUAGUAAGAUAAUAUGGAAAUAUGGUGUUGAUGUCAUAGCUAAAAUUCAAGAUGGAACCCAUUCUUUUCCCCAUUCUGAUGAGAGAUUCACAGACAGACUGAAGCUGGACGAACAGACGGGAUCACUGACCAUCACAAACAUCAGAACUGAACAUGCAGGAGACUAUAGUGUAGACAUCAAGACUACAAUUGCAAAUCUGACUAAAUUCAAAGUUUCUGUCCAUGGUGUGUUUAGUGAUGAGAAAGACGGAGUGAAGACUGUGUCAGAGAAGAAGGGAAAUUCUGUCCUUCUACACACUCACGUGACUAAAAUACAAAAAGAUGAUAUUUCGAUAGAGUGGACAUUUGGACCUCAAAACAUUUCCAUAGCAAAAAAUGAAGGAAAGAGCAUAAGUAUAAUAUAUAACUACAAUGAUGUAAGAUUCAAAAAGAGACUGUAUCUACAGACCGAGACUGGAGAUCUCACCAUAAAAAAUGCCGACACUGAACACUCAGGACUUUAUCAGCUAAAGAUCAUCACCAACACAUACACCAUACAGAAGAGAUUCAGUGUUACUGUCAGUGAUUCAGGUUCGUCAGCUGCUGUAUCAGGCAUAUGUGGUGCUAGUUUUGGUCUGGUGAUUUGGGCUGUAACAGUUUUGUUACUGCAAGAAGUAUAAGUAACCAAACAUGUUUCAGUGAAGAUAAAGUGAAUCAAUCUCAGGAUCAGGAUGAAUAAUGAGGAGAAUCAACUCCAACAGUACAGUAUCAUAAUCUGUGACAAUGUAAACGCAGGCUUUGCAUGGCAUACCGAUCAGUAUAGAGACUAUAUGUAACAAUUUUCUUGUAUUAAUUGCUUUUUUAUUGCCAAUAUGUGAACAUCUUGUAAUGAAGCUUACAACUUCCCCAACUUAACUAGGUUGUCUAUAGCUUGUAGCUUCGCCAGGAAAAUCCAAAGGAUGUGAGGUUUACACACACUCCAGAAAGCCUCUCUUCCAUUCAAUGACACAUGAAAUGAACGCAUACAAUAUUCAGAAUAAUGCUGAAAGAGUCAUUCUGUACUGUAAUGUCAAUGUGUCAUGCAAAGAAGAUGGAUUCAUUCAAACUAUAGUCUCACAGUCUUUUUACUUCUAAGCAAAAGAUGAAAAAGAACUUCAGUGUGAGUAUAUGAGGGCAUUAAAUCACAUUGUCUCUUGUACAUUAUGUGUUCAUGAGUGUGAGCACGAGCAGUUCACUUAAUGACCACUGUGUUUUAUAUAUAUACGCUGUUUUUGACAUAAAUCACACUUCAGGUAUUUUUUAUCUCAUGCUUGACUGCUUGAACAUAAUGAAAAUUAUCUUCACAGGUAUUUGUAAAGCUCAUAUAUCAUAAGUAAUGUUUGUUGUUUCUUCUUAGUGUAAUAAUUUUAAGCAUUAUUUGCAUGGGGAUUUAAAUUGUGACUGAUCUUAUAGCUGCAGUGUAAUUUCUGCUCUGUUAGUGUGUGCUCAUACAUGUGGAUCUGUGUGCAAACAGACAAUAAACAAAUGGCUAAAACUGGACAAAA